UCCCACUUUGGAAGGGAUGAUGUCUGAGUACAGAAACCAAGAUAAGGAUUCUGAAUGUAUUUGCAUAUGAUUAAAUAUGUUCAAUACACUGACCUUCCAUUGGAGGAA
ensembl:snoRNA